ensembl:lncRNA
AUCUUUAGGAUUUUCUUUUUAAAUUUUUUUUUAAUUAAAGUAUAGUUGACUUACCAUGUUGUGAUAAUUUCUGCUAUACAGCAAAGUGACCCACUCAUACAUAUACAUACAUUCUUUUUCUCCAAUUAUCCUCCAUCAUGUUCUAUGCCAAGAGAUUGGACAUAGUUCCCUGUGUUAUACAGUAGGACUUCUUUGCUUAUCUUUUAUAAGUGUAAUAGUUUGCAUUUACCAACCCCAAACUCUCAGUUCAUCCCACUCCAUCCCUCACUUGUGGUUUCCAAGGGGGAAGGGGAGGAAGUGGGAUGGAUUGGGAAUAUGGGAUUAAUAGAUGCAAACUAUUGCCUUUGGAAUGGAUGAGAAGUGAGAUCCUGCUGUAUAGCACUGGGAACUCUAUCUGGUCACUUAUGAUGGAGCAUAAUAAUGUGAGAAAAAAUAGGGUCACCUUGCUGUGCAGUAGAAAAUUGACAGAACACUAUAAACCAGCUAUAAUGAAAAAACAAAAAUCAUUAAAAAAAAAUAGUGGGGUUUUAAAACCAAACCUGGAGUUCCCAUUGUGGCUCAGUGGGUUAAGAACCCAAUGUAAUCUCCAUGAGGAUGCAGGUUCAAUCCCUGGCUUCACUUGGUGGGUUAAGAAUCUGGCGUUGUUAUGUCUGGGGCAUAGGCCUGCAGCUGCAACUCUGAUUCUACUCCUAGCCUGGAAACUUCCAUAUGCCGAAGGUGUAGCUGUGAAAAGAAAAAGAAAAAAACCCAAACCUAAAAUCUGUAGGUAGAGGUAAUGAUCUCUGGUCUCUGUGUACAUUGUAAAGACUGAGGGAGAUCAGUGAGUGUUUCUGGCAGUUUUAAGGCUUAAGCAAGAGAGUGAAGGGAGGGAUCAAGCUAGAAUAUGAAGCGGAUAAGUAAAAUGUAAGGAAAUAAUAAUGAUAUGUUUGUGAAGAGCAGUGGCAAAAUUCCCCUCCCAAUUGUUAGAGAUACAUCUUAGUAAUGUGUGAAGAUGCUUAUCCUUCCUUAGUGGUAUUGAGAAUAUAUCUUUUUUCCCUCAAGAGUGUUUUAGCUCUUUGUUUCUAGUUUCUUUUAUGCAUAUUUAAUUUUUGGAAAGAAUAAGAGGUAUGUAGUAUUGUCAGUGUUGUUUUUUCUACUUUUUUCUCUUCAACUGUAUUACUUUGCUCCCCAAAGCAAAUGCUAGGUUUCAAAGGAUGAUUUGUUUCUACUAUUUGUAUAAAUUGAGUAUAAGUUGACACCUAUCUCAUAUAUUAUGGUGGGAUGUAAAAUAGUGAAGCCAUUGUGAAAAACAGUUUGGCAUUUCCUCAAAAGAUUAAACGUAGAAUUUCCAUAUGACACAACAAUUCCACUACAAAGUAUAUUCCCAAGAGGACUGAAAACAUAUGUCCACACAAAAGCUUGCACAUGAAUGUUUAUAGCAGCUUUAUUCAUAAUAGCAAAAAUAUGGAAAUAAUGCAAAUGUCCAUCAAUUGAUGAAUGGGUAAAGACAAUGCAGUUUAUCCAAAUAGUGGAAUAUUAUUUAGCCAUAUAAAGGAAUGACAUAUUGAGACAUGCUACAGUGUGGAUUAGCCUCAAGAACAUUAUUCUGAGUUAAAGAAGUUAGACAAAAGGUCAUACAUAUAUUAUAUGAUUCCAUUUACAUGAAAUAUCCAGAAUAGAUAGUAGAAUGGAAAGCACUGUAGUGGUAGCUUGGAGAUAAGAGGAGAAGGGGAUAGGGAAUGAUUGCUUAAUGGAUAUUGGAUUUUUUAUAGGAUGAUGAAAUGUUUUUGAAUUAAAGUAGUAGUUGCACAACACUGUAAAUAUGCUGUAUGCCACUGAAUUGUACACUUUAAAAAGGUUAGUUUUGUAUUGUUUCGUAUUGUAUGGUCUCUAGAGAUAGCGUCUGUUUCCACAGGUUAAGGGCUCAGUCCCACAAGACCCUUCCUUUCUUCAAAACACACGCGCACACGCACACCACAACACAUUCAUAUACUUCAGACAUCUUUUGCAAGUCCACGUGGUUACCUGUGCUUCUGACCCACUAGCUAUAGGUUGUGGGUUCAUUGACCCCACCCCCCCAGGGUCAAUUAAUUUGCUAAGGCAGCUCACAAAACUCAGAGAAACAUUUUGCUUACUAGAUCACCAGUUUAUUAUUAAAGGAUAUAAUUCAGGAACAGCCAGAUGGAAGAGAUGCCUAGAGCCAGGUAUGGGGGGAAGGGAGCAGAGGUCCCAUGCUCUCAUGAAGUGCACCACUCUCCUUAAAUCUCAUGUGUUCACCCACCUGGAAGCUCUACAAACCCCCUCCUUUUGGGUUUUUAUAGAGGCUUCAUUACAUAGGCAUGAUUGCAGCAAUCCUUAGCCAUUGGUGAUGGAUUCAACCCUGAUCCUUUCUUUGCUUCCAGGAAAUCAAGGGGUGGGACUGAAAGUCCUAACACACUAUUUACAACUGUUUCCCCUAGCAACCAGCCUCCAUCCUAAGGUGCUUUCCAAAUGUUUAACAUAAAACCCAGUUGUAGUAGAAAGGGGCUUGUUAUAAAUAACAAGGCACCCAUUUCACCUUUAUGACUCUGAAAUGAUUUCAGGCACUGAGGGCAGGAGACCAAACAUUUUUUUUCUUUUUUUUUUGUUAUUCAGUGAAUUUAUUACAUUUAUAGUUGUACAAUUAUCAUCACAAUCCAAUUCCAAACAUUUUGACAGAGGAUGCUCCUACUGCUCUCAUUACUCAGGGAAUUCUAAUAGUUUUGGAAACUAUGAGCCAGGAACUGUGGAUAUAGACCAAAAAUAUAUGAGAAAUAUAUUUUGAUCCUCUGAAUGAUCAAAGAUAUGUUUCCUAUGAAUCAUAAUAUUUGCAUUGCUGUCAUUACAAUAUAGCAAAGAUUGGGAGGCUUAAACAACAAAAAUUUGUUUAUUUUCUCCUAGUUCUGAAGGCUGAAAGUACCAGGUCAGCAUGUUGUCAGUUUUGGUUUUUCCAGAGGACCUCUGCAGAUGGUUGCCUUCUCACUGUGUCCUCACAUGGUCUUUUCUCUGUGUAUGUACAUCCCUUGUAUCCACGUGUGUUAUAAAUUCCUCUUCUAUGGAGACACCAGGCAUAUUAGAUUAGGGUUCACUCUAAUGGCCUCAUUCUAAGCUUAUUACCUCUUUAAAGGCCCUUUCUCCAAAUACAGUCACAUUCUAAAGCACUGGGGAUGAGGACUACAAAGUUGUGGUGAUACAACUUAAAUUCAGUACAUGACAUAUUCCAAAAUGAAAAAGAAGAUUUCAUUGUAUCUAGAAGAAUCUUUUAGUGUGGACUCAGUUAAAGUGGGUCAUCCAAGUCUAUUAAGAGGUAGAUUUUCUUACAUUUUAAAGGAGAGCUCUAAUUAGGAGAAGAGAGGAUUGAUUAAAAAAAAAAA